rnacentral:lncRNA from 1 species
CGAAGAUAAUGAAAAUAUUGCUGAGACACCCGCAGUAGGAGAUGCUAACGUUAGAUCUGAAUUGGUCAAUCUCCCUCCCCGUCCUCCCAGUGCCCCAAGACCUCGUAAAAGAACUAGUGUUGCAUGGCAAUUUUUUGAACGUAUAUCAGAUAUUGAGGUGCAAUGCAAUAUUUGUCAACAAAUAUAUAAGCAUAGAAGUGGAGGCAAG